rnacentral:rRNA from 1 species
CCCGCUGAACUUAAGCAUAUCAAUAAGCGGAGGAAAAGAAACCAACAGGGAUUGCCUCAGUAACGGCGAGUGAAGCGGCAACAGCUCAAAUUUGAAAUCUGGCUCUUUCAGGGUCCGAGUUGUAAUUUGUAGAGGAUGUUUCGGGUGUGGCUCCGGUCUAAGUUCCUUGGAACAGGACGUCAUAGAGGGUGAGAAUCCCGUAUGUGACUGGUAGCCUAUGCCCAUGUGAAACUCCUUCGACGAGUCGAGUUGUUUGGGAAUGCGGCUCAAAAUGGGUGGUAAAUUUCAUCUAAAGCUAAAUAUUGGCCAGAGACCGAUAGCGCACAAGUAGAGUGAUCGAAAGAUGAAAAGCACUUUGGAAAGAGAGUUAAACAGUACGUGAAAUUGUUGAAAGGGAAGCGCUUGCAACCAGACUUGCAUGUAGCUGAUCAACCGGUGUUCUCACCGAUGCACUCAGUUGCGUUCAGGCCAGCAUCGGUUUCGACGGUUGGAUAAAGGCCUUGGGAAUGUAGCUUCUUUCGGGGAGUGUUAUAGCCCAGGGUGCAAUGCAGCCUGUUGGGACCGAGGACCGCGCUUCGGCUAGGAUGCUGGCGUAAUGGUUGUAAGCGACCCGUCUUGAAACACGG